ensembl:lncRNA novel transcript
GUACAACGCCUGCAAAAAAGUAACUUUGAAGAAGACGACAAGCCCUGUUCCAGUCACACCCAGAAGCUAACUGGUCCACGCAUGGCCAAAGCAUGAGGAAACUCAUCCUGGAACUCAUUUUCCUUAAAUUCUGGAUUUGUACAGUAAGGACUUCAACUGACCUUCUUCAGACUGAGGACUGUUCCCAGUGUAUGCAUCAAGUUACUGAGGCAAACAAAGACUGGACUUACUCAUUGAGUGCAAAACACACAACAAAGGCUGAAGGCACUUCAAGCACUCGUGGUCCAAAGAUCGGGCAGAAAAAUUCAGAUGCAUCCUCACAAAGCAUCUGGAGUCAUUUCCUGUUUGGGCUAUUAUGGCAGUCCUGCUGCAAACAUGCUUGUGGCUGUCUUUGGAAUUAUGGCAGCAGCAAGUAAGAAGGUAAUGAUCCUGAGAAUCAGCACCCAAGACCAGUGGUCAGUCCAGCAGGAAAGAGAUAAAGGUGGCAUGGGACAAGCGCCACCCUCACCUCUGGGGACCAUCCCCCAGACACCAAGCAGGAAGACGAAGCUCAGGUCACAUUCAUCAUGGCUGAACUCCAGGUCACCUGUGGUGCAGAGAAAGUGGCUGGCUCAGAUGUCCAGGCCUUUGUAUACAUCCUAACAUCUACAACCCCCUGAAAUUACAUUACCUUCUAAGAAGAAAGGGGGAGAUGCUAUACAGUUUUAAACAACCUGAUCUGCUGAGAACUCUGUCAUAAGAACAGCAUUUCUUCAUUUGGUUGAGCUGUGGAAGGCUGCCAGCUAUGAAGCUCCACCUUUUGGGGGUGGGGAAGAAAGAAAAAUGAAAACCAAUUUUCUCCAUGAAUUUUUUUCCAGCUUUAUUGAAAUAUGAUGGACAAAUAAAAAUUGCAUUAUUUAAGGUGUGGUUUUAAUAUAUGUAUGCAUUGUGAAAUUAUUACCACCACCAAGCUAAUUAACACAUCCAUCAUCUCACACAGUUACCCUUUUUAUUCAGUGGGGAGGGAGGUAUAGAUGUGACAUCACUUAAAAUCUACUGUUACCAGAAGCUGAAUCUUAAUAUCUACUCUCGCCAUCAACUCAUAUAGGUAAACAUAAUAUGUAGAUUCCCAUUCAUUUGAGCUGCUGUAACAAAAUACUGUGAGCUGGGUGGCUGAGAAACAACAGAAAUCAAUUGCUUCUGGUUCCGGAGGCUGGGAAGUCCAAGACCAAGGUGCCAGCAGAUUCAGUGUCUCAGCAAAUUUCAAGCAUACACUAUAUUAUUGUUAGCUGUAGUCACCUUGCUGCACAGUGGGUCUCCAGAACUGAUUCAUCUUUUAACUGAAAAUUUGUACCUUUUGGCCAAACACCUCUUAUUUCCCCACACCCAGCUUCUGAUAACUACCAUGCUAUUCCC